UGACAAACACCCACUGGGCGCUGGCUAGCCAGAAGCACCUGUUCAGCCUGGCACACGAGUCAAUAUGUGGUGGGUGUCUUGAGAGAAAGAUGCUGGAUGGGAAGUUCUCCCUGUCUGAACACCGUGCCCCAGGAAGCCCUUCUCCCCACUGCUCUUCUCUGAACUAAAAAAAUCACACAGGGAGUGAAAUUCAACAAAGACUUAGAAAUAAUGGUUAUCCCUCUGCGGAGAAUGACACCUGGGUAUAUAAGGUUGCUGCAGACUCAAGCUGCAGGAAAAAUAGUUAUCAACUCAUCAGAUGUACUGCUGCAACGGGCAGCCUUGCUCCUGGGCACGCUUGGGAUCAGUCUCUCCAGCUACAGCACACACCAGCUGGCUCAACAGAAGAGACUUUCCGUGACCCUUUAAGCUGUGCUGAGAUGUGAUCUGAGAAGUAAAUGCUUGUGUCAGUAAUGCUGACGAGAAGCUUUUCUGUCUCCGUUGCUGGUGUGGAGGUAAUGAGACACGUUACAGCCUCGAUUUCUACAUGCAGAGUCAGAAAGAUGAAAGAAUACAGACUUCUUCAGGGAAGAAAAAAGCAUCAUGACUAAUGGAAAUCAGAUUUCCAGGAACUUGUAAAUACAGUGGAUCUUGGUGGUCUCGUGAGGUCCCUUCCAACCCGUGCAAUUCUGUGAUUCCGUGAUUUUGUUUGUUAUCCAGUGUAUACAUAAAGAGACAUCCAAAUCAGAGUAGAUGUAAACAGAAGGAUGAGGGUGCCAUGCUUAUUUAGCAUCACCUUGCUACAGCUUUUGCAAAUUGACUCCUAUCCAAAGACUGGUUUCCAACUUUCCUUUCCAAAACAAUACAUUCCUCAUGAUAAGAGUCAAACCGGAUAAAGAGAAUCUUUCAUAGGCUGUUUGUACAUUUAAAUCCAACUAAAAAUACACAUCUGUGUGAGGAAUUGUGCACUCUAUCCAUUAAUAUUGAAUCUUAAACUUUUUUUAAUGCCUUUUGUAUAGAAAUGUGUGUGUGUUGUAGCACAUGCUGAUUUCUUUGUGUAACAGCAGAGAUGGCUGAAGGCUCCGCCAUCACUACACUGCUGGAAAGGAACCGUGACAGCAGUCCAGAUGACUUUGUAAUCCUGUACAGAAACGCUCUACUCUAGAAAGGAUCAGUAAAAAUUUGAUGCUGAGUUUUGUUGUAGAGCUAAACAUCUGAUUGUAUUCCUCUGCAGAAACCCCUCAUCUCAAAAUAUACUGAUGAAAAUAGAGAUUAACCUUCCUUCCUUUUCUCCUGUUUUCUUGUUUUUCUUACUCAAUAUAAUAGCUUAUUCAGGAAUGUUCUGUUACUGUUGGUUAGCAUUUUUCCAACUGUUUCCAAUGCUCUGUGUAAACAUGGCUUUGUAGACUCUUGCAUGCAUAUGUUACUGCUUGAUAUCCUUUGUUCUCUCUUAAUAAAUGCAAAUAUAUUUUUUCA
rnacentral:lncRNA from 1 species